rnacentral:rRNA from 3 species
UGGGGAAUAUUGCACAAUGGAGGGAACUCUGAUGCAGCGACGCCGCGUGAACGAAGAAGGCUUUCGAGUCGUAAAGUUCUUUUAUAUGGGAAGAUAAUGACGGUACCAUAAGAAAAAGCCCCGGCUAACUACGUGCCAGCAGCCGCGGUAAUACGUAGGGGGCUAGCGUUGUCCGGAAUCACUGGGCGUAAAGGGUUCGCAGGCGGAAAUGCAAGUCAGGUGUAAAAGGCAGUAGCUUAACUACUGUAAGCAUUUGAAACUGCAUAUCUUGAGAAGAGUAGAGGUAAGUGGAAUUUUUAGUGUAGCGAUGAAAUGCGUAGAUAUUAAAAAGAAUACCGGUGGCGAAGGCGACUUACUGGGCUCAUUCUGACGCUGAGGAACGAAAGCGUGGGUAGCAAACAGG